GUGUGCUUAUCUUGUGUACAACGUUAACUUUUAUUUCUGUUAUGUCUUGUGCAUAUCUCAUGUAUUUUGUACGAAAGAUUUUGUGUACGACUUGUUUGUUUAUGGGUGGAAUACUACAUAUUUCUAAACGCUCGAUUACUACAGUUUUUUGUAAGCCUUGAAUUCCACUGUUUUACCAUGUGCUUCAAGUAUGGUGCGCCAUUUCGUCGACAAACAUUACAUUUUGAACUUGAUAAUUACGUACUGUCAGUUUAAUAAAGUCAAUUGAUUACGGUUUUAACUCAUUAUUUUCUAUUCAAUUAAUGAAUUUAUUUAUAGAAUAUAUUUAAGAUAUGUUGCAUUACUUAAUUCUAUGUGAAAGGUAUAUUUAAUUGUUUUUCUAUGGAAACCAAUACCUGUCAUUUUUAUUUGUAUUUUGUUUAUUACAGAUUCUUAUCGCAUUGCAGUUAUCAGUCAAUUAAAAUCUUAAAUGCUUACUUUAUGUCACAUUUUGCACGAGAAUACUUUAAUUACAGGGGCUUGGUUGUUGGAUAGUGAAUUUCCUAAUUAUUUGUUCCCGAAGAAAAAAUGGAUUAAAAUUGGUAAUCUUAUGUGUAUUUCUGUGUAUUGCAAUAAAUAAAUUCACCGAAACCCCCCGUUUCAAUCAUGUUAAAAAAGUGUAUUCAAUGUACAUUAAAAAAAGUAAAGGGACGACACUCGCCAUUUUGGAUUUAUAGGGGGUCCUCAUUUCAAGCUAUGUUUUAAACAAGUUCUUCCGUUUCUCCAACGAUUUCUGACGAUAUAUAGGUUGUAAAAUGUUAAAAUUACCUAUUCCUAUCGUCUGACUACAUCUGUACGCUGCAUAAUAAACACAUCUUUCCGAAAUGUACUAGAUACUUGCCAAACUUAUCGAAAGCGAGGCGUAGUGAGUCAGUAACUAACCUAAUAAGUAAUAGUAUGACGUGCCAUAAGGGUAAUCAGUUGUCGUUGUGAUUGAUCUAGCGUUGGUGUGUGAUUUGUGCUUUGAAUUCAUUUGUCUUUAUAUGUAUAUUUUAGUUUCUACCGUCGAUGAGAGAUUUAUUGGCCAAUAAAUACAUUUCCGAAUAUUUUGUUUUAUUAUAAUUCUAUGUUAAUUUCUGAAAGCAAGUUUUCGAGAUUGUUUGUGCAUAUAUACGUCUGUCUGUCGGUGUAUACACUUGUCUGUACAUGUGCUUUUUUAUCUUCGUUAUGUGACUGUGUCUAUAUUAUACUUAUAUUCUAAAUCUCAAAUGAAGUGAAUAUAUGAUGUGUAUGCACUGUAAAACUAAAUAUAUAAGAUGAUGUGAAUAACUUGUACAUGAAAGUUCGAAUAAAAAAAAAAUACUGAAAUCUGA